rnacentral:snRNA from 1 species
AGCUUUGAUCAGGCAAUGUAGGCAAAG